GCCUCCUUAGCUCAGUGGUAGAGCACUCGCCUUGUAAGCGAAAGGUCGUCAGUUCAAUCCUGACAGGGGGCUCAA
rnacentral:tRNA from 6 species